CCUACGGGCGGCUGCAGUGAGGAAUAUUGGUCAAUGGGCGGGAGCCUGAACCAGCCAAGUCGCGUGAGGGACGACGGUCCUAUGGAUUGUAAACCUCUUUUGUCGGGGAACAAAGGCGCCCACGGGUGGGCGGAUGAGUGUACCCGAAGAAAAAGCAUCGGCUAACUCCGUGCCAGCAGCCGCGGUAAUACGGAGGAUGCGAGCGUUAUCCGGAUUUAGUGGGUUUAAAGGGUGCGUGGGCGGACAGUCAAGUCAGCGGGAAAAAUGCGGUGCUCAACGCCGUACAGCCGUUGAAACUGGCAGUCUUGAGUGGGCGAGAAGUAGGCGGAAUGCGUGGUGUAGCGGUGAAAUGCAUAGAGAUCACGAAGAACUCCGAUUGCGAAGGCAGCAUACCGGAGCCCGACUGACGCUGAGGCACGAAAGCGUGGGUAGCGAACAGGAUUAGAUACCCCAGUAGUC
rnacentral:rRNA from 1 species